rnacentral:lncRNA from 1 species
UUGGCCUGUUUUGUAGUCACCCGUCAUUGAUAUCCCAUUGUUGAGGAUUGACGGUUUCACAUUAUCAGAGGGUCCCUGCACUCAGGAGAUGUUCCAGCAUUGGUGGUUCCCUCGUACCAUUGGAGCCCAGACCCGCGCCACUCAAUUCAUGGGGAAUAUGGUUCCAAGAUCCGUGAUGAUGAUGGAUUGGCUAGCAUGUGUCCGAGAUCCGACUCAUUUGACACAGAUUGACAGUUUGACCCGGCAGUUGGAUCAGGCACAUUUCUUUAUCUGGCACUUGGGCAGAGAUCCUUUAGAGGCAGAUACUUUUGAUCCUUCCAGUCUGGCGCUGGCCCCUCAGGUGACCCAUAUGGUUUUGCCGGUGCAGAUCCUCCCUUGUAUAGGCCUGACAUCCCUGUAGAUAGAGAUCCUGUGAUUCAGGAGGAGUUACAUCAGGUGGACAGGAUUAAUGAUGUAGACAUUGACACUAUUGUCUUCUUCUGAUGUAUAUUCUCAUUAUCUCUUUUGAUAGGCCUUUGUUAGACAUUGGGUAGCUUUGCCCCAUUCACGCUAUAUCUUUUGAUAUGCCUCUGUUAGAUGUAGGGCAGUUUUGCCCCAUUUCCCUGUAUUUUAGCUGUACAGAGAUGUAUUAGAUGAUGAUAUACUUAGGAAUGUAUGUACAGUUUCCAUUCCCUAUAUAAUAUUGCCAUAUAUUGUAUCAUGCAUGUUAUUAUGUUAUGCAUAUGUAUGUAUGUCUAGAGAUAUUCAGCAUUAACCCCUGGAUGGUCUUAUGACACGGCCUGCACAGAUGUCUUCUUCGAUAGUUAGCCGUAUUGAUCAU